UCUCGAAUAUUUUUUCUGCACUUUCUAACUUUUCCACAGUGAGCACACGGUCACAAAAUGGGAAAAAGAGAAGACAUUUAGAAAAGUAGUAUAACACUAACUUAGAAGAGGAACUGGAAACUGUGGAGACGAAAACAGUAAAUACAAUGACAGAAUAGACGGUUACAGAGAAGCCUGAAGAAGAAAGGCAGGGGCUGUCACAUUCCUCUGGAAUCCUAGAGAGUGCUUUUCGGCCAGGAGGCUUCCUCCUGUGGGAGGCGCUGGGUUUGCAAGGUGUUAACAGCAUUGCUCGUGAACUUGGCCUGUCCGUCUGGCUCUUGAUGGAUUUUGAGACCCGCUGACAAGUUCAGCCGGAGGGACCUCCCCUGCUGUGGCGGUGAAAGAAACAUACAGGCGGAGAGGACCCAUGGCAAACCUCCAGGGUGCGUGGCGAAGACGGUAGUUCCGCAUAGGCAGGUGCGCUGUUCUGCCUGCUCUUUCUCGGCUCCCUCCUCCUCCAGGCCGCCCGUCCCUCUCCUGGAGCUUUCCAAUAUCUCCUUAAAGCCCAGAAGUUUCCCGGGGCUCCGCGCUAGGAGUCCCAGAACCCUUUGCAGGGAGCAGGCCCUGGGGGAGACCGAGUUCAGCAUUUGGACAGCGGCCCCAGGGGCCUGUCCGCGCAGAGAAUUUGCAGGUGCACAGCCCAGGGCGGACGCAGGUGGGAGUGGGGGUUCACGCUGGGUCUUUGAGAAGCAGCACCCAUCCUGGAGGGCGUCUGCAGCUCUGAAUGGGCUACGUUUCCCGAGCUAAAAGGGCCCUUCGGAGCUCACGUGGGACCAGCCAAUCCAGCGUGGAUGUCCUCAGCCUAAACAACACCUGUAAGGGGUAAAAAGGUAGAACGCCCCCCUUUUCAGCCCCAAGCGUGGACGCCCCUCAUGCCUUCAGCUCUCCAUUCUUCCUAAAGCAGCCCAGAUCCUUGAGUCCGGAGCUGUCAGCCAGGCUUCCAACACGGUGCUCGCCACCACCUCCUAGGACGUUAGUAGCUCAGCUGCGCCGGGAGGUGGGGGGCGCUGAUCCGCGCCGCGACUCCCAGGGAAAAUCUGGUAGGCAAGCGGGGUUGGGGGGAAGCCCAGAUACCGGGCUGAGCUCCCCUCACAGCUUGGCUCCAUCCCCUCCAUUCUGCACUGGUCGGGGUGAAGGGAGGGGGCAGGGGGAGUCGCGCUGACGUCACUGCGGGCCGUGCCCGCUCGAGAAGGCGGUGCUGGGAGCCGCUCAGAGCCCCGAGAAGCGGCGCGCGGCUAGGAGCCCCCCGCGCCACCGCUGCUGUGCCUGCCUCCCGCAGCUCUCGGCCAUGCGCCCGCUGGGGCAGGGGCUCCUCGGGAGCGGCGGAGCUGGGCCUGAGCCUGGGGACGCGCGCGAUCAGGGACUGUGGAGCCGCUGUCCCUGCAGAUGCCCCACCCCACCGCCGCUGCUUCGCUGGGGCCCGGGUCCCCUUCCCGGACCGACGCGCUCAGAGUCAGACAAUGGAGAAAAGGAAAGUGAGAACCUUGGUGACGAGAGUCUGAAGAUUGCCCUGUGAAGUGAAGUGAGAUGGAACAGCCUCUUUUCAGCUUUAUGAAAAUGGAGACAGAGAGGAACUGACUCUUGCCAAGGAAGGUCACAGGAUUGGAAUACAGAGCCAAGUGGGCACACUGAAUCAUCAGAAGGGGAAAAGCCUAGCAGGAAGUGAAGUAACUAAAAGCAACUGCUGUCCUGAGGCCAUAGCAGCAAGGGGCCAGGAUGGAGGAGGAAGACCCAGGCAAUCCUGCCCAUCUAGGACUUGGCAGGGGACCUAGGGAAACAUGCCAAGACCCUUGGGGGUCUUUGCAUCUGUUGCCUAUUGGCCUAGCAUCUCUUUAUCCACCAUUUCUGUCUGUCACACUUUGUCAGGCCUAUCCCAGGUCUGGGGUGCUAUGAAACACUCUGCCUAGGCCUCUGGCAAAUGGAAGCUCUUUACUACCCCCAUUUCCUGAAAGGACCAAGGGCAGCAUGCUGGGAAGGUGCCAAAGCCUGGGCGCCAGCCUUCUAGGAGUUAACGACUGCUUCUCCCCAGCUGUCUUCCCGUUGGUGCUCCUCUUCCUCCCUUCUCCUGCUCACAGCAGGCAGGGCCUGGACCCAGGAGCCAUGCUGCUGUGCUGUUGCCAGGGGAGCCCGGAGGCAGAUCUGAGCUAUGCAGGGAAAAGGCUCGGCCUGUCAAAGUGUCUGAGAUGAACCGCCGCCGUCCCUAUGCAGCUGGGCUCAGACGUGUCUCAGCUCUUGUUCUGUGCCUGAGAAUGGCAAAGCCCAGUGAGGUUCAAGGGCAAACUCUCUAUUCAUUAGUCAGGGGUUCUUGACGUCCAUCUCUCCCAGGGAUGGGUUACCCCCACCCACCCACCCCGCUUCUGUCCCUCCUGUGACACAUUCCUGGGUGCCUUUGGUGAGAAUUGCUUACCCUUCUCCUGCCCAACCACCUCUCCAAACGCCCCUGAAUAAACUCCCCCCAAGGAGACCAGGCAGGGCAGAGACAAUAGCUGCAGGAAAUCAUUCAGGCGGGACCCCAGCCAUGCUGGCCCACCCUCCUCUCCCAGUGUCCCUGUGGGCCCCACUCCUCUCUGACUAAGGGCACCCUUAGGCUACUAGCCUGCACAGGCACAAGAGGAAACCACUGGGCACUGCCCCAAGAACAGUGGGCUAAUCCAGUGCCUUUCUCAGUGGGCUCCUUGGGACCCUCUGUGGCCUGCAUUUCUUACUGGCUAGCUAUUUUUGUGCUUUCUGUAUCAUCAUGUGCCUAUUUUGAGAGAGCUUCAAACACUGUUAGGUAGGGAAUAUAAAAUAUACAAAAUGUUUUUUUGAAACAUGGCAACAUCCAAAUGUAAAAGGCACUUAUACUUGGUCACAAAUUGCAGUACUAGGAACGUACUCUGUGUGUAUUUAUAGAAGUUCCCAAAGAAAUAUAUAUAGGAUGUUCAUCAGCGCUUUUGUUUUUAAGAGUGUAAAGAAAUGGAAAUGAGCCAAUGGUCCAUUCAUACUAUGGAGUAUUAUGCAGCUAUAAAAAUCAUUGUGGUAGAUCUCUAUGUCCAAGCUGACAUGGAAAGUUGUCCACUUUAUAUUUUGGGGCAAAAUAGAAUAAGUUGCAGAACAGGCAAUAGAAUGCGAUCGAUCUUCUGUAUAUUUAAAAGUCAGUUGUAAGUAUGCUGAUGUAUGGAUAGUUUCUGGUAAUAGUAUCAGAAGGCUACUGCUGGAGAGGACAGAUGGAAGGAUGCUCUCUUCUGUAAGGUUUUCUUUCCAUGAUCAUAAAAUAACUUUAUUAAAAAAUGUAAAGCAACUAUACAGUCUAAUAGGCUUAACUUCUGUCUGUCAACUUGAGGGAUAAGUGCUUCAAGAGAAUGGUGGUGAUGUUGCAAGAGAGAGCAUCCUAGAAUGGGAUGGCUCACUGAUGGCCAUUGGUCGUUUUGGGACCUAUUAAUCAUGUUACAAUGGCCACUAUUUUUAAUCAAAAGCCUAGUAAAUACCUGGCUUAGUAUAGUAUCUCUGGAUCUUGCUUAGGUGGAUGUCAUUAUUCUAAUUUCACCGAUUUGGAAGAGAGGUUGAUUGACUUGCAGAGCUCCUCUGUAGGUAAGAGACAGAGCCAGGAGAUGGGGAACCUGGGGGAGGGUCAGUGUUGAGUCUUUGUUUUCCUCCUGGUAAACAUUGGCCCUGUCCCCUCAGGAGCUGCCUGUUUUGGGGAAGGGUCCAUCACAGUGAGCUGUGUCGAUGCCCCAUCCAGCCACAGCCCAAUAGAGGUAUCAUUUUGCUGGGGGCAGGCCCAGCUUGGACACAGCUGUGAAAAGCUCUAUUUGCAUAAGCAGCAUGUGUCCAGAGAGAAAGACAUCACCAAGCAGAAUGCCAUGCCCAGUACCAUUCACUGCCUACUUCACCCCAGAAAGAAUAGAUGGCCCAGAAAGUGUCUCUUGACUGGGUCUCCCUGGAGGGAGAGGCACUGUGUCUGGCUACACCUGCCCCAGGUCAGGGGCUGCAGAAGCCUUCAGAGUUCUUCAUUGGGCCCCCAAAUGGCCUGGAAAGAUGCAGACCUGCCACUCGGAGGCCUGGGAAACUCCAUCCCUGGGGCCUGAGGGAUGGUUCCAGUCACCACAAAUUGACUAAGGGACUAGCAGGGAAGAAAGGAAAGAAGCAUUAAGAGCAACCACAUGCAAAAGGCUGUCAGGUGCUAGAUCACAUGCUUUAGAGUAGUGACUCAUAAUUUUUUUCCUUUUUUUUUAAAUUUAUUUUAUUUUUUUAUCAUUAAAUCAUAGCUGUGUACAUUGAUGCAAUCAUGGGGCACCAUACACUGGUUUUAUAUACCAUUUGACAUAUUUUCAUCACACUGGUUAACAUAGCCUUCCUGUUAUUUUCUUAGUUAUUGUGUUAAGACAUUUAUAUUCUACAUUUAGUAAGUUUCAUAUGUACCCUUGUAAGAUGCACCAUAGGUGUGGUCCCACCAAUUACCCUCCCUCUGCCCAUCCUCCCCCUCCUCCCUCCCUUUCUCCCUUUCCCAUAUUCUUAGGUUAUAAUUGGGUUAUAGCUUUCAUAUGAAAGCUAUAAAUUAGUUUCAGUGACUCAUAAUUUUAUGGGCUGUAGGUACCGCUGAUACAUUCAUUUUACAGAUGAGGACAGUGAGGCAAAAGAAAAGUUAACUUACAGGUCCCAACACAAAAAAUUAGCAUGUGCCAGAACUAAGAAUCAAAACCAAGUCUCUUUGACUCUAAAGUCUAUACUUGUAACAGAACAGAGAGUCUGUUUGGCUUGGCCACUUAAAGGAACUCCCCAGAUUUGCAACUCCUCCUUGCAGACCCCACAUAUAGCGACAUCAACCCCUCCUCUGCAAAGGCACCUCAAAUAGACUUUUGCCUGGAGUUUGCCAUUCAGCUUUGUAAUGUGCCCUGGACUGGGCACUGGAGUGGGAGGAGCAUUACAGAACCUCACAUAGAUUGGGGACUUAGGCUCCUGUUUAUCUGCAUUUCUGCAGACUUGGCUUAUUCCUUGGGUCCUUGUCCUGAAGGAGCCUGGCAGGAAGAUGAUGCUGAAGCUGGAGAAGCAGAAAUGGAAGAGCAGAGAUGGCACCUGGGGGCUUGAAUGAAUCACUGGGCCCUUCUAAGGCCAGUAGGUUUUCCUGGAUGGUCUUGAGAGAGCACUAGGGCAAGUUCCAGGAGAUGUCUCUUCCUGGUCUGUGAAUCCCCUGCUUUUCUUGCCGUAGUCCACAAUGAAUAAAGUUUCUUU